UACAGAGACUGCAAGCGUUAUUCGGAUUCACUGGGCGUAAAGGGUGCGCAGGCGGCCAAGUGUGUCAGGUGUGAAAUCCCGAGGCUUAACCUCGGAACUGCGCCUGAAACUACUUGGCUAGAGUACUGGAGAGGGUAACGGGAAUUCUGACUGGUGAUGACGGCUAGGUAAGUGAAACUGGCCGAUGAGUAAUUACUCGAGGAUGGGAACGGAAAGCCCAGGCCUAGGGGGGCCGGAAAAGGGCCGGGG
rnacentral:rRNA from 1 species